UUAAGUUAGAAAGGGCGCACGGUGGAUGCCUUGGCACUAGGAGCCGAAGAAGGACGGCACUAACACCGAUAUGCUUCGGGGAGCUGUAAGUGAGCUUUGAUCCGGAGAUUUCCGAAUGGGGGAACCCACUACGUUUAAUCGCGUAGUAUCUUGACGUGAAUACAUAGCGUCUUGAAGGCAGACCCGGGGAACUGAAACAUCUAAGUACCCGGAGGAAGAGAAAGCAAACGCGAUUUCCUGAGUAGCGGCGAGCGAAACGGAAUUAGCCCAAACCAAGAGGCUUGCCUCUUGGGGUUGUAGGACACUCUAUACGGAGUUACAAAGGAAUGAGUUAGAUGAAGCGACUUGGAAAGGUCCGCCAGAGCAGGUAAAAGCCCUGUAGUCGAAAGUUCGUUCCCUCCAGAGUGGAUCCUGAGUACGGCGGAACACGUGAAAUUCCGUCGGAAUCCGGGAGGACCAUCUCCCAAGGCUAAAUACUCCCUAGUGACCGAUAGUGAACCAGUACCGUGAGGGAAAGGUGAAAAGCACCCCGGAAGGGGAGUGAAAGAGAUCCUGAAACCGUGUGCCUACAAGUAGUCAGAGCCCGUUAACGGGUGAUGGCGUGCCUUUUGUAGAAUGAACCGGCGAGUUACGAUUACAUGCAAGGUUAAGUCGAGGAGACGGAGCCGCAGCGAAAGCGAGUCUGAAUAGGGCGAAUGAGUAUGUGGUCGUAGACCCGAAACCAGGUGAUCUACCCAUGUCCAGGGUGAAGUUCAGGUAACACUGAAUGGAGGCCCGAACCCACGCACGUUGAAAAGUGCGGGGAUGAGGUGUGGGUAGCGGAGAAAUUCCAAUCGAACCUGGAGAUAGCUGGUUCUCUCCGAAAUAGCUUUAGGGCUAGCCUCAAGAUGAGAGUAUUGGAGGUAGAGCACUGAUUGGACUAGGGGCCCCCAACGGGUUACCGAAUUCAGUCAAACUCCGAAUGCCAAAUACUUAUUCUUGGGAGUCAGACUGCGAGUGAUAAGAUCCGUAGUCGAAAGGGAAACAGCCCAGACCACCAGCUAAGGUCCCAAAGUAUACGUUAAGUGGAAAAGGAUGUGGAGUUGCUUAGACAACCAGGAUGUUGGCUUAGAAGCAGCCACCAUUUAAAGAGUGCGUAAUAGCUCACUGGUCGAGUGACUCUGCGCCGAAAAUGUACCGGGGCUAAACGUAUCACCGAAGCUGUGGAUUGACACCGUAUGGUGUCGAUGGUAGGAGAGCGUUCUAAGGGCGUUGAAGUCAGACCGGAAGGACUGGUGGAGCGCUUAGAAGUGAGAAUGCCGGUAUGAGUAGCGAAAGAAGGGUGAGAAUCCCUUCCACCGAAUGCCUAAGGUUUCCUGAGGAAGGCUCGUCCGCUCAGGGUUAGUCGGGACCUAAGCCGAGGCCGAAAGGCGUAGGCGAUGGACAACAGGUUGAUAUUCCUGUACCACCUAUACAUCGUUUGAACGAUGGGGGGACGCAGAAGGAUAGGGUAAGCGCGCUGUUGGAUAUGCGCGUCCAAGCAGUUAGGCCGGAAACGAGGCAAAUCCCGUUUCCAUUAAGGCGGAGCUGUGAUGGCGAGGGAAAUAUAGUACCGAAGUUCCUGAUUCCACGCUGCCAAGAAAAGCCUCUAGUGAGAUGUAAGGUGCCCGUACCGCAAACCGACACAGGUAGGCGAGGAGAGAAUCCUAAGGUGUGCGAGAGAACUCUCGUUAAGGAACUCGGCAAAAUGACCCCGUAACUUCGGGAGAAGGGGUGCUUUUUAGGGUGAAUAGCCCAGAAAAGCCGCAGUGAAUAGGCCCAGGCGACUGUUUAGCAAAAACACAGGUCUCUGCGAAGCCGCAAGGCGAAGUAUAGGGGCUGACGCCUGCCCGGUGCUGGAAGGUUAAGGGGAGCGCUUAGCGUAAGCGAAGGUGCGAACUGAAGCCCCAGUAAACGGCGGCCGUAACUAUAACGGUCCUAAGGUAGCGAAAUUCCUUGUCGGGUAAGUUCCGACCC
rnacentral:rRNA from 1 species